rnacentral:rRNA from 1 species
CGAAAGCCUGACGGAGCAAGACCGCGUGAGGGAGGAAGGCUCUUGGGUUGUAAACCUCUUUUCUCAGGGAAGAAGCUCUGACGGUACCUGAGGAAUCAGCCUCGGCUAACUCCGUGCCAGCAGCCGCGGUAAUACGGAGGAGGCAAGCGUUAUCCGGAAUUAUUGGGCGUAAAGCGUCCGCAGGUGGCGUAUCAAGUCUGCUGUCAAAGACUAGAGCUUAACUCUGGAAAGGCAGUGGAAACUGGUAGGCUAGAGUACGGUAGGGGUAGAGGGAAUUCCCAGUGUAGCGGUGAAAUGCGUAGAGAUCGGGAAGAACAUCGGUGGCGAAAGCGCUCUACUGGACGGCAACUGACACUCAGGGACGAAAGCUAGGGGAGCG